rnacentral:rRNA from 1 species
UACGUAGGACCCAAGCGUUAUCCGGAUUGACUGGGCGUAAAGAGUUGCGUAGGUGGUUUGUUAAGCGAAUAGUGAAAUCUUGUGGCUCAACCAUAAGGCUAUUGUUCGAACUGGCAAACUCGAGAAUGGGAGAGGCAUCUGGAAUUCCUCAUGUAGGGGUAAUAUCCGUAGAUAUGAGGAGGAACACCAAUGGCGUAGGCAGGAUGCUGGCCCAUUUCUGACACUGAGGCACGAAAGCGUGGGGAGCGAACCGG